CCUACGGGUGGCAGCAGUGAGGAAUAUUGGUCAAUGGGCUUACGCCUGAACCAGCCAAGUCGCGUGAGGGAAGACUGCCCUAUGGGUUGUAAACCUCUUUUGUCAGGGAGCAAUUGGCGCUACGUGUAGCGUUAUCGAGAGUACCUGAAGAAAAAGCAUCGGCUAACUCCGUGCCAGCAGCCGCGGUAAUACGGAGGAUGCGAGCGUUAUCCGGAUUUAUUGGGUUUAAAGGGUGCGUAGGCGGAAUGCCAAGUCAGCGGUAAAAUCGCGGGGCUCAACCUCGCUCCGCCGUUGAAACUGGCGGGCUGGAGUGCCGGAGAGGCAGGCGGAAUUCCUAGUGUAGCGGUGAAAUGCGUAGAUAUUAGGAGGAACACCAGUGGCGAAGGCGGCCUGCUGGACGGUGACUGACGCUGAGGCUCGAAAGCGUGGGGAGCAAACAGGAUUAGAUACCCCAGUAGUC
rnacentral:rRNA from 1 species